UACGUAGGGCGCAAGCGUUGUCCGGAAUUAUUGGGCGUAAAGAGCUCGUAGGCGGUUUGUCGCGUCUGCUGUGAAAACCUAAGGCUCAACCUUGGGCUUGCAGUGGGUACGGGCAGACUAGAGUGCGGUAGGGGGUGACUGGAAUUCCUGGUGUAGCGGUGGAAUGCGCAGAUAUCAGGAGGAACACCGAGUGGCGAAGGCAGGUCACUGGGC
rnacentral:rRNA from 1 species